rnacentral:misc_RNA from 1 species
AAGUCGUAACAAGGUUUCCGUAGGUGAACCUGCGGAAGGAUCAUUAUUGAAUUUUUUGGUGGUGGAUUGCUGCUGGCCUUUGGGUAUGUGCACAUCCUCCUCUGAUUCUAUUCAUCCACCUGUGCACUUUUUGUAGGAGUUCUUUCAUCGGGUAUUUAACAGGUGCUCAUUACGAGUUAACUUGGGAAAGACUAGUUGAAAAGACUUCUAUGUUCUUAUAAACUAUUGAAGUAUGUUAUAGAAUGAUUCUGUUAUUGGGACUUUAUUGACCCUUUAAACUUAAUACAACUUUCAGCAACGGAUCUCUUGGCUCUC